UAGUAAAGUUGGUACUUAUAAGAAGGACUUAAUUCAUAUUGGAGGUUUGAAGCUGGCAUUCUAUUUCUCUUUUGCUUUAACUGGAAAGGGACUCUAAUCAACACCUACUUUCUGUCCUGGACAUGAGUCACAGAAACUCAGAUUUGAGUGCUGAAGGAAGGGAGACCUCAGAGACAAUCUAACACAGAUUAUAGAAAGAAAUUCAUUCAAGAGCACCCUUGAGAAGUAGUUUUUAUUAUUUCUUUAAAAAACACUACCUUUAAUGGCCCUCUAUUUUUAAAUAGCUCUAAUCAAGGAAAAGUUUUUCCUUCUAUCAAGCCAGAAUCUGUCUUUUGAGUUACAUUCACCUAUUGUUCCUAGUUCUACCCUGUAAGAUUUCUUCUAUUCUUAAAGUAACUUUUUCAAAUUUCCCAGGGAAUCAUAGCUGAAAAACUGGGAAAUUGCAGAUCUUCAGUUUGUACUACUUCCAAGGUCUGCAAAAGUGAUUGACAAUCAGCAAUCACUUCUGGAUAGCUAUAAUUGUGUUUCUUUAUAUCAAGCCAAAAGCUGCUUCUUCAUACUUUUCUGUCCAUGCAAAAGUCACAGUCUUCAUGUUCAUGAUAGUUCUUAAAAUAGACAGACAGCUGUUUGUACAUUGCCUAUCCCAUCCCAGAGUCCUCCCCAUUUUAUUUUUUCUGUCUAGACUAAUCAUCCCAUUUCCUUUAGUUGAAUCUUUUGGCAAGGUCUAUAAUAACUUUACUUUACUGUUCUCCUGCCUCUGCCCAAGUUUGUCAGUGUCUUUAUUAAAAUGUGAUAUCUAGAAGUGACAUUUCAAAGUGCAUAUCCAUAAGUACUUCAGCUUACUAGGCCCAAAACAGAUUUAUCUAUCUCACCUUCUGCUUUCUCCCAGACCUCUUCCAAAUUUCUCUGUCACCCUCAAAGGCACCCAGGUUUGCUCUUCUACUUCACACUGCAUAACCCAUUAAAUUGCCAAAUCUUUUUGUUUCUUUCUCUGCUGCAUCUCUGAAAUACUUACCCUCCUCUCUAUUUACAGUCCCUCACCUUGUUCAGACCCUCAUUGUAGCUCACCUGUACUACUAUACAAGCGCCCUGGUCUUGGUCACUUAAGCCUUUGCCUAUUCCAGUCUAUCCAUGCAUCCAACAAAGCGCUUUUCUUAAAGUCCAGGUCUGGUCAUAUCAACUUCUUUCCCCCACUCAAAGUUCAAUGGCUCCCCAUUAUUUCUUACAUCAAAUGUAAAUUCCAAUGUUUAAGAUUUUCAUAACAUGGUCCCCUCCCUUUCCUGUUUGGUAUUGUAUUACUAAUAUCCUCAUAUAUAUAUCCAGUAUAGCUAAUCCAGAUACCUAUUAUUCCACUGGUGCAACUUUCUAUCUCCAGGCUUUGUGCCUUUAUACAAGCUGAUCCUCCCCUACCCCACUCCCAAAUGCCUGCACUGCACUCCCUCCUCACUUCUGGAUUUUGGAAUCCAUGGUUUCCUUCAAGAUUCAGAUGCAUUGCCCCCUUCUCCAUGAAGCCUUUCUAGGAUUCCUUUCAAACUAAAGGGUGUGUGUGUGUGUGCGUGUGCAUAUGUAUACACACACACAUGAUGUGUAUAUAUAUACCUCUUUAUAUAAAUAUAUGUGCAUAUAUUUAUAUAUAUUAUGUAUAGACUUGUAUGUGUACAGGUCUCUCUUUAGAAUGUAAGCACCUUGAUUGAACAUAGGAACUGUUUUACAUUUCUCUUUGUAACUCUAGAGCUUAGCAUAGUUGCUAGCACAUAGUAAGUGCUUAAUAAAGGUUUUUCUUUUUAUGCUGUCAUCAGUGGAAAAUGUAGUCAGACUAUUAGUUACCUCCUUUGUUUCAAUACUGUGCCUUUUUUUUUUUUUUUAAUUCAGCCUAAGACUGUUAAAUUUUCUGCCUGCUGUUACAUUAGUGACUCAACUUGAAAUCCACUAAAAACCAUGGCUAUUUUUUCACAUAAAUUAGCAUAAUUAUAUCUUCCCCAUUUUGUAUUUGUGUAGUAGUUGAUUUUUUAAAAUCCCCAUUAAAUAUCAUCUUAUUGAAUCCUUACCCAAAUGUUUCUUAACUCAUAACUAACUCCCCACUUUGGUUCAUGGAUUUACUUACAUGAGUACAUAUUGGUAUACAAUUCUAUGUCACCACCUUCUUAACAGAGUGCUAGACUUGUUCUUCAAGAAGAGCAGGGUUCACAUAGCUUUGAUACUUAUUAGUUAUGUGCUGUCUUAGAUUAUUAGUUGUUUUAAUUUCCUUAGCUGUAAGAUGCAGCUAAUAAUAGCACCUUCUUCACAGGUUCUCAUUGUGAGGAUUAAAUUAAAUAACACAUGUAAAAUACUUUGCAAACAUUACAGAAAUAUCUAAGUCUGAAUCAUCUUGAAUAUAAUAUAAUAUAAUAGUGCUAGGACACUAAUGGAGUAUAUGACCUCUAGGUCAUAUUUUACUUUUGAUAGUAAAAUAGCUAGUAUACCUUGUUCAUCACCCUUACUUAACAACAUUUGGGUGUAGCUGUCCAAUGUAGCCAUGAAUUUUAUUACUUUUAUUCUUAGAUGUUUUUCUUGCAAAUCAUUCUUUUCUACUGGUAUUUUCCUUUGUCAUAAUUGCUAUUUUCUGUACCAUCUUAUUUCAAAUAGAGAUAUGACUGGUUUUCCUUUACCUUUUAUUUUUCAAUUUAAAAUUUUCUUGCUCAUAUGUGCAAGUCUUCAAAAAAACUAAUAUUUUGCCAAUCCUAUUUGUGUCUGUUCUUGCCCUGGCAAAGAACUGAUCAUUUUCAUAAAGCCAGGUUCUAGAAUCCAAAUCAUGUUAAUCAGAGACUAUUCCCAAUUUUACCUUUUUCUUUUGAAAUCCCUAUUUUCAAUUGGCAGUGGUAAUGUCCCUAAGUUCUUAAGUUUUUCACACAAAAUUUGAUUUUCCCAGGAAUGUUUUCUAGGUUUCUUUUGGUGGUUUGCUUUAUCUGCAUCAGAAUUACCAUGGCGCAUAACAAUUACUGUGUUCGACAGAUGGUGGGAGAUUUUAUAUCAAAUUCCUGACUUGAAUUCCUGGCAUAACCCCUUGAAAAAUGGCAUACUUCUCUCUUUAUUUGUACCAAGUGUAUAAAUGACUGUCUCAGCACACGUACCCCUCUCCCAGUCCCUAUAUUUCUCAUCUUCCUUUGACUAGAAUAUGGACUAUUCCUGGCAACACUUGUGAAAACUCCUAAUUAUUCAACAAAUAUUAAGUGUCUACUAUAUUCAAAACAUUUCUAGAUUCUUGAGACCUAUCUGUGGCAUGAGAAGCUGUUCCUGCCUAAAAACACUUGUGAUGUACUUUUAUCUUUUUUUUGGAAGUUUCAUAAAACUAUUCUUAGUGCCAACAGUUUAGUAAUUUAUCCUUUUUGCUUCAUGUUCUUUCUUUGUUUUGACCUUCUAGUAAGCUCAGAAUUCUUCUGUAGAUUUUUUUCCCUCUUGGUUUCCCCUUUUAAGCAUCUUUUUCAUCAAACAAUAAUUUAUUUUCCUUAGUGAUUUAGAGUAUAAAGAGUUCUUCAGCCUAUUCACCUUCUAUAGGAGGAAGACCAAUUUAUUAUGCACUUUAUUGCUACUACAUGUCACUGGCAGAAAUUAAACUAUAGCACAUUCUCUACAAAUCAAUGUAAAAUGCUUUUUUGCCCUCUUUCCUUUAUAGAUCAAAAAUCCUUAAAUCUUUGUUACUAUUGUAUCUUGGCUUUUGGUCUUGUGACUUUUACUUGCUGCUUUUCUCAGCCCGAUCCACAAUUAGUUUCCUGCCAAAGCCCUAAUGUAAGCAGGAGCUACUUUCUGUUCUCUGUGUGAAGGUGCUGCUGUGUAAAAAUCUAGCUUCCACAGUUAUCUUUCUGCUACUCCAUUUUUCUUGUUUUCUUUCCUCCCACUGCCAGUCAGACCUCAGACACCUAUCUUCUGUUUCUUAGUUUUUCAGUAUUUCAUUCCUUCACCUUGAUUAUAAAAAAUGUAAAUUGAAAUACUGUGUUAAACAUUUCUAUGAAUUCAGUAUCACAAUUGUGUUUUCAUUUGGACUUUUUCCUUUAAGGAUUUCACAUGCCUUUUGGGAGCAUUAUACAAGGAAAUAGAUUUUUAGUAUUACAUAGACAUGUGUGACAAAGGAGCCAAAUUGUCAUAGUCUGGAACGAAAAUAUUGCUCCCUCUCUUUGUUUUUGUUUUUUUUACUAAGGCAAGUGGGUUUUGUACUAUGUUUUCAUGCUGUUGCAGAAAUCAGUUGAAGUAACAUUAUUUUUCUACAGGUUAUUGUUACAUUUGUCUUUGUUUGCUCUUCAUAUAAAGUACAUGAACUAUCUCCAAACUGAGGACUGCCUUUGUUGAUGUGUUUUCUAUACCUGCCUCAAUUUGAUCUACAGACAAUCCAGAGAUUUAUGUGAAAUGAUAUUUCACACUUUUUUGACUAAAAACAGAAAAGGUGAGAAGAAAAAAAUUUAACACGAGUUGUCUACAGAUCUGCAAGAAAAAAAGGAAGAGUAUGAAAAAGAAUGGUGGUUUAAGAAAUAAUUUGAAACAGUUCACAAUCUAGGUAGGAAUCCAUUUUCUUUAAGAAUUGCUAAAUACUGAAGUAAAAACCAUUAGCAGUAAGAGAGCAUAUAGUAAUUGUUUUGAUAUUUGGAGAAGAAACAUCAGUCUUUUUAAUUGGAAAUAUUUGGAGGCAGCUUUCCAAUUUAAUGAAUUGACUUUUCUUCAAACAUCAGAAAUCAUUUUCUGAAUCAGAAUAUUAUUAUAUUCAUGAUUUGCAAAGUUUAGGUAUCAAUAUUAAUCAAGUCAUUUGAGAUAAGUGAAUAUGUAGAGUUGGGAACAGAUUGUGAUAACAUCAUACCAUCAUGCUUUGGAAAGAGGGACCAAUGCAAGAUAUCUUAUAAUUUUAACUUUUAAUAGGUUAGAUAAUUGAGUCUGUCCUGGUUAUUAUUAAAUAUAUUUUACAAGAACCUUAUGAUAGUAGUUUACUUUAAUACUCAAAUGUUAAUUUUAAGAUUAUUCUCCCUUUGCAAUUAAAGCAAAAUGUAACCAUUUCCACAAGGUUUCAGGAGGGGGUGGAGCAAAGAGUUUCUUCUAGUUGUAUCUGGACCAAAAGUUAUAGGAAUUCUCAUCCUUCAGAAUAAAGAGAAACAAAGAUGUAAAGAUUGUAGCCCCAAUUCUUGGCAGAGAAGACAGAAAAGCCAAUUAACCAUGUUAUUUCCUGGCCAGCUUUUUUUUCUUUUUUAGGAAGUCUGCGUGAACAAACUCAAAUAAUAUGAUUUUGUAGUAAGUUUUGAUGUGACUUUACAAAGUGAAUAUUGUUAAAUGAUCAUCCCAAGUAGAAAUUGAUUUUAAAAUAGAUUCUUGGCCAUUUCUGUUCAUAUUUACCUUGAGUAAAAGGUUGUGUUUUUGUAUGCACAGGCUUACAAACCAGAAAGUAUAAUGAUAUUCUGUAAAAUGUAUCUUGAAAUCAUAGUUUUAUUUCCCUACAGUGUUACUUUUGCCAUAGCAGAAAAUGGCUAGAGAACCCCUUAGCAAACUCGUAUAAUAAGGCCCAUGGUUUACAUUGG
rnacentral:lncRNA from 1 species